CGCCUGUUUAUCAAAAACAUGUCUUUUAGUUUAUGUUAAAAGUCUAUCCUGCUCAAUGAUUAUUUAAAUAGCCGCGGUAUUUUAACUGUGCAAAGGUAGCAUAAUAAUUAGUCUUUUAAUUGAGGUCUGGAAUGAAUGGUUGGACGAGAAAUUUUCUUUAUUUUUUUUAUUUUAUUUGAAUUUUUAUUUUUGGUUAAAAUUCCAAAAUUUUUAAGAGGGACGAUAAGACCCUAUAGAUCUUUAAAAUAAUUUAUUUAUUAUUUUUUUUUGUUGUAUUUAUUUUUUAUUUAUAUUUUUUUUUUGUUGGGGUGAUAGAUAAAAACUUAAACUUUUUUUUAUUAUUACAUUUAUUUAUGGUUUUUUUGAUCCUUAAUUUUUGAUUUCAAGAUUAAGAUACCUUAGGGAUAACAGCGUUAUAUAUCUGGAGAGUUCUAAUUGAUAGAUAUGUUUGCGACCUCGAUGUUGGAUUAAUUUAAAGCUGUGGGGUAGGUUUUACAGUUUUAGGUCUGUUCGACUUUAAAAUUUUACAUGAUCUGAGUUCAGACCGG
rnacentral:rRNA from 1 species